UCCACGCCCUAAACGAUGUCUACUAGUUGUCGGGUCUUAAUUGACUUGGUAACGCAGCUAACGCGUGAAGUAGACCGCCUGGGGAGUACGGUCGCAAGAUUAAAACUCAAAGGAAUUGACGGGGACCCGCACAAGCGGUGGAUGAUGUGGAUUAAUUCGAUGCAACGCGAAAAACCUUACCUACCCUUGACAUGGCUGGAAUCCCCGAGAGAUUGGGGAGUGCUCGAAAGAGAACCAGUACACAGGUGCUGCAUGGCUGUCGUCAGCUCGUGUCGUGAGAUGUUGGGUUAAGUCCCGCAACGAGCGCAACCCUUGUCAUUAGUUGCUACGAAAGGGCACUCUAAUGAGACUGCCGGUGACAAACCGGAGGAAGGUGGGGAUGACGUCAAGUCCUCAUGGCCCUUAUGGGU
rnacentral:rRNA from 1 species